GACGAACGCUUUUGGCGUGCUUAACACAUGCAAGUCGAACGGAAAGGCCCUGCUUUUGUGGGGUGCUCGAGUGGCGAACGGGUGAGUAACACGUGAGUAACCUGCCCUUGACUUUGGGAUAACUUCAGGAAACUGGGGCUAAUACCGGAUAGGAGCUCCUGCUGCAUGGUGGGGGUUGGAAAGUUUCGGCGGUUGGGGAUGGACUCGCGGCUUAUCAGCUUGUUGGUGGGGUAGUGGCUUACCAAGGCUUUGACGGGUAGCCGGCCUGAGAGGGUGGCCGGCCACAUUGGGACUGAGAUACGGCCCAGACUCCUACGGGAGGCAGCAGUGGGGAAUAUUGCACAAUGGGCGGAAGCCUGAUGCAGCAACGCCGCGUGCGGGAUGACGGCCUUCGGGUUGUAAACCGCUUUCGCCUGUGACGAAGCGUGAGUGACGGUAAUGGGUAAAGAAGCACCGGCUAACUACGUGCCAGCAGCCGCGGUGAUACGUAGGGUGCGAGCGUUGUCCGGAUUUAUUGGGCGUAAAGGGCUCGUAGGUGGUUGAUCGCGUCGGAAGUGUAAUCUUGGGGCUUAACCCUGAGCGUGCUUUCGAUACGGGUUGACUUGAGGAAGGUAGGGGAGAAUGGAAUUCCUGGUGGAGCGGUGGAAUGCGCAGAUAUCAGGAGGAACACCAGUGGCGAAGGCGGUUCUCUGGGCCUUUCCUGACGCUGAGGAGCGAAAGCGUGGGGAGCGAACAGGCUUAGAUACCCUGGUAGCCCACGCUGUAAACGGUGGGUACUAGAUGUGGGGUCCAUUCCACGGGUUCCGUGCCGUAGCUAACGCUUUAAGUACCCCGCCUGGGGAGUACGGCCGCAAGGCUAAAACUCAAAGGAAUUGACGGGGCCCCGCACAAGCGGCGGAGCAUGCGGAUUAAUUCGAUGCAACGCGUAGAACCUUACCUGGGUUUGACAUGGAUCGGGAGUGCUCAGAGAUGGGUGUGCCUCUUUUGGGGUCGGUUCACAGGUGGUGCAUGGCUGUCGUCAGCUCGUGUCGUGAGAUGUUGGGUUAAGUCCCGCAACGAGCGCAACCCUUGUUCACUGUUGCCAGCACGUUAUGGUGGGGACUCAGUGGAGACCGCCGGGGUCAACUCGGAGGAAGGUGGGGAUGACGUCAAGUCAUCAUGCCCCUUAUGUCCAGGGCUUCACGCAUGCUACAAUGGCUGGUACAGAGAGUGGCGAGCCUGUGAGGGUGAGCGAAUCUCGGAAAGCCGGUCUCAGUUCGGAUUGGGGUCUGCAACUCGACCUCAUGAAGUCGGAGUCGCUAGUAAUCGCAGAUCAGCAACGCUGCGGUGAAUACGUUCCCGGG
rnacentral:rRNA from 1 species